rfam:Pediculus humanus corporis strain TSDA 1103172094725, whole genome shotgun sequence.
CGACCUCAGAUCAGACGAGAUCACCCGCCGAAUUUAAGCAUAUUAGUAAGCGGAGGAAAAGAAACUAACCAGGAUUCCCCGAGUAGCGGCGAGCGAAAAGGGAAGAGCCCAGCGCCGAAUCCCACGUCCCGUCGGUCGGACGUCGGGAAAUGUGGCGUGAGGGAGCGCUCGAAACUUCACACAGAUUCGCGUCCGGAGCUCGCUCGCGAGUCCAAGUCCAUCUUGAAAGAGGCCACAGCCCGGAGAGGGUGCCAGGCCCGUAGAGGCGGCGGCGAGUUUCGGACGGGAAGCGUCUCCUCAGAGUCGGGUUGCUUGGUAGUGCAGCCCAAAGCAGGUGGUAUACUCCAUCUAAGGCUAAACACGGCCACGAGACCGAUAGCGAACAAGUACCGUGAGGGAAAGUUGAAAAGGACUUUGAAGAGAGAGUUCAACAGUACGUGAAACCGUUCGGGGGUAAGCGCGUGAAACUCGAAGAGUCGCACGCGGGAGAUUCAGUAUUCGCGGCGCCGGGACGGAGGAGCGCUCAAACGAGGCGCAGACGCGGACGCGGGCUCGCUCGAGUCCGACGUCGGCCGAGCGUUUUCCCCUGCAAGUGUCUCGUCCCGCCGCGGGUCCGCACUUCUCCCCGCGUUAAAAGACCGUCGCGACCGGCCGGCCACAGGCCGGGAUCGAGGGCGUUCGCGGACAGACUCCGGGAAAGGUUGCGGCGUUCUCGAUCGUCGCGCGUUUCGGCGCGCGGCGAUCGUCGAUCGCGCUCCACGCGCUUUUCCAUCGGAGACGCGAACGAGGCCCGAUCCCGGGCCGGCCGUAUGAAACGGAAUUAGACGAUCGCUCGCGUCGGUCGCCCGCGAGGGCACCGAGCGCGUCCGUCGGCGGUUCCCGUCCGGGGAAUCCGCGCCUCGCUUCGCUCGCGCGGAGCGAGAGCGCGCGCGUUGUCCGGACGCGCGGCCGCCGUUCUCGGACCGAGAACCCAGCGACGUCGGUCGAGCGGCGCAAAUGGUUUCGGGCAUUCACGCGACCCGUCUUGAAACACGGACCAAGGAGUCUAACAUGUGCGCGAGUCGUCGGGUUUCGUUUCAGAGACCCGCAGGCGAAGCGAAAGCGAAGGGGAGUCUCGUCCUCGAUUCGGACUCGCGCUUUUUUGCGCGAGUCCGAGUUCCCCGCGAGACGAUGCCGUCCGUCGCUCGCGAGCCGGAAAUCGAAAAGGCGCGAGCGGCGAAAAAAGACAAGAACCAAGCAGACGAGAGCGACGAAUAGCCGGAAAGAGAAAAUUCGCCGGGCUCGCGAGAGCUCGGCGACCGGCCGGCCGCAGUCUCGGGGCGUCUCUGGCGUCUCGCGCGGAUUUUUCGUCGCGCGCGACCGAGGCGCACCGCGAGCGCACACGUUGGGACCCGAGAGAUGAUGAACUAUACCUGGUCAGGACGAAGUCAGGGGAAACCCUGAUGGAGGUCCGUCGAGAUUCUGACGUGCAAAUCGAUCUCUUGAACUGGGCAUAGGGGCGAAAGACUAAUCGAAUCAUCUGUUAGCUGGUUUCGCCGGAAGUUUCCCUCAGGAUAGCUGGCGCGUGGAAACAAGGUGUUUCAUCCGGUAAAGCGAAUGAUUAGCGGUCUUGGGAUCGAAAAGAUCUCAACCGAUUCUCAAACUUUAAAUGGGUGAGAACUCGGACUUGCACGAACGUUUUUGGCGAAGUUCGAGAAGCGCAAACUCUCGGAUCGCGACGUCGAUGCUCCGAGAGGAGACGCGCAACGAAACCGAUACGUGCCAAGUGGGCCAUUUUUGGUAAGCAGAACUGGCGCUGUGGGAUGAACCAAACGUCGAGUUAAGGCGUCCAAAUCGACGCUCACGAGAUACCAUGAAAGGCGUUGGCUUCUAUAGACAGCAGGACAGUGGCCAUGGAAGUCGGAAUCUGCUAAGGAGUGUGUAACAACUCACCUGCCGAAGGAGCUAGCCCUGAAAAUGGAUGACGCUCAAGCGUCGUGCCUAUACUCGGCCGUCAGAAGGCAAAAGGGAAAAGUCGCGGGCGAACCUCGGAUCGCCCGCAACUCGUCGUCGCGUUCUCGUCCGGACGGUCGAGAGAUGUUCGGCGAACGCGUUCGCGCUCGAGUCUUUUCCCGUCAAGCCCUGACGAGUACGGCGUACGAGGCGGUGAGCGCAGAAGGGCCUCGCCGCGAGGCGACCUGGAGCCGCCGUCUGUGCAGAUCUUGGUGGUAGUAGCAUGACUCGAUAGAGGACCUU